rnacentral:rRNA from 1 species
GACAGAGGGUGCAAACGUUGUUCGGAAUUACUGGGCGUAAAGCGCGUGUAGGCUGCUUCGCAAGUCGGGUGUGAAAGCCCCGGGCUCAACCUAGGAAUUGCAUUCGAGACUGCAUUGCUGGAGUACGGAAGAGGAAGGCGGAAUUCCCGGUGUAGCGGUGAAAUGCGUAGAUAUCGGGAGGAACAUCAGUGGCGAAGGCGGCCUUCUGGUCCAGUACUGACACUCAAGUGCGAAAGCGUGGGGAGCAAACAGG